CUGCGCGUAGGCCAGGAACGCACCAGCGGCUUCGUCCGCCGCCGGGUGGCCGCCCUGCCCGAGGACGCAUCGGAUCUCGACCGUCUGCGCGAG
rnacentral:tRNA from 1 species